rnacentral:lncRNA from 1 species
CCAGCCCCCCCCAGCCCCAUUUCUGCCCCACUGCCCCCCAACCGCCCCUCGUUCCCCUCCCCCACUUCCCCGCACUCCUCACCGCCUCAAGCCCCGCCUCUUCCUCUCACGUGACCGCACCACGACCCUCCUCUUCCCGUCACGUGACAGCAACAAACUCUCCGCGCAUCCGCAUCCCCCCCCAUUCCACGCAUGCGCACUGAACACCACGCGGAACCCGCCCCUUUCCUCACGUGACCACAACAAACCGCUCUCUCCACGCAUGCGCACGGAUCACGCCUUCCCACCCGGCGCAUACGCGCUAGUUUACCGUCUCUCCCUUUUCCCGCAGAGCGCAUGCGCGCUACUCCUAACGCAUGCGUAUUCGCCACGGAUUACAUCCGGCGCAUGCGCGCUAACUCCCAUUCCGCUCAGCGCAUGCGCGCUUCUCACGCCCCGCCAGCUGACGCAUGCGCACUCUUCACCUCCUCGCGACGACGCAUGAGCACUUUCCGCUUCUCCCUUCCGGCGCAUGCGCACUGCCCUCCGCUCCCUCCCGGCGCACGCGCACUGAGCGCAGCCCGCAGCCGUGCGGGCGGAGAUGCGGCGAUGGCUGCGGCUGCGGGGAGCGGGGCGGAGGGCGGCGGCGGCGCUGCUGGGGCUGCUGGCGCUGGGCUGGGCCGCGGGGCGCUGGGGGGGGGCGGGUGAUGCGGGGGCUGCAAUGCACACAGGGGCUGCAAUGCAUGCAAAUGCUGCAGGGGCUGCAAUGCACGCAGGGGCUGCAAUGCACGCAGGGGCUGCAAUGCAUGCAAUGCACGCAGGUGCUGCAAUGCACGCAAGGGCUGCAGGUGCUUCAGUGCAUGCAGGGGUUGCAAAUGCUGUAAAUGCUGCAGGGUUUGCAAUGCACGCAGGGGCUGCAGGGGAUGCAGGUGCUGCAAUGCACGCAGGGGCUGCAAUGCCUGCAAUGCACGCAGGGGCUGCAGGGGCUGCAAUGCAUGCAGGGUCUGCAAUACACGCAGGUGCUGCAGGCGCUGCAAUGCACACAGGCGCUGCAAUGCCUGCAAUGCACGCAGGGGCUGCAGGCGCGGGUUCAGCAGCGGUGGGGGAGGUGCAGGGGGUCGGUUUUGGGGAGGUGCAGGGGGUCCCAUUGCGGGAGGUGCAGGGGGUCGGNNNNNNNNNNNNNNNNNNNNNNNNNNNNNNNNNNNNNNNNNNNNNNNNCCCCUGCUCGGCUCCCCCCCCCCUCCUGCUGCUCCUGGUUCCCAGCAGCCCCGGCAACGCGGAGCGGCGCAGCGCCGUGCGCAGCACCUGGGGGGCGGCCGGAGCCCCACGAUGCAGGACCGUCUUCGGCUUCGGGG